rnacentral:tRNA from 1 species
AUUUAAAUAGCUUAAAUUAAGAGUAUAAUAUUGAAGAUAUUAGGGUGAUUUAUUAGUCUUUAAAUA